rnacentral:lncRNA from 1 species
CGCCGCCCGCCGGGGCUCGGCUCGGCAGCAGGUGCCCGGAGCGCGCCGCAGCACCGCGCAGAAGUACUUCUGUGGGUAUGGAGAAAAUGUGUGAACUGUCUACCUCAUGGUACCUAGCCCUGACCUAGUUGUUGACAGUUUGAGCA